rnacentral:rRNA from 1 species
GCUCCAGACUCCUACGGGAGGCAGCAGUGGGGAAUAUUGCACAAUGGGGGAAACCCUGAUGCAGCGACGCCGCGUGAGUGAAGAAGUAAUUCGUUAUGUAAAGCUCUAUCAGCAGGGAAGAAAAUGACGGUACCUGAGUAAGAAGCCCCGGCUAACUACGUGCCAGCAGCCGCGGUAAUACGUAGGGGGCAAGCGUUAUCCGGAUUUACUGGGUGUAAAGGGAGCGUAGACGGCAGUGCAAGUCCGGAGUGAAAGCCCGGGGCUCAACCCUGGGACUGCUCUGGAAACUGUAAAGCUGGAGUGCGGGAGGGGCAGGCGGAAUUCCUGGUGUAGCGGUGAAAUGCGUAGAUAUCAGGAGGAACACCGGCGGCGAAGGCGGCCUGCUGGACCGUAACUGACGUUGAGGCUCGAAAGCGUGGGGAGCAAACAGGAUUAGAUACCCGUGUA